GAUAAACGCUGGCGGCGUGCCUAACACAUGCAAGUCGAACGUCCUCUUUUUGCCUUCGCGAGAAGGGGAGAGAGGGAGUGGCGGACGGGUGAGUAACACGUGGGUACCGUACCCUCGGGUGGAGGAAUACCGGCGAGAAAUCGCCGACAAGACCGCAUAGGCUCUUUCUUUGCACACGUAAAAGAAGAGCAAAGACCGAAA
rnacentral:rRNA from 1 species